rnacentral:rRNA from 1 species
UGGGGAAUAUUGGACAAUGGGCGCAAGCCUGAUCCAGCCAUGCCGCGUGUGGGAUGACGGCCUUCGGGUUGUAAACCUCUUUUAGUAGGGAAGAAGGGCUUCGGCUUGACGGUACCUGCAGAAAAAGCACCGGCUAACUACGUGCCAGCAGCCGCGGUAAUACGUAGGGUGCGAGCGUUGUCCGGAAUUAUUGGGCGUAAAGAGCUCGUAGGCGGUUUGUCACGUCUGCUGUGAAAUCCCGAGGCUCAACCUCGGGCCUGCAGUGGGUACGGGCAGACUGGAGUGCGGUAGGGGAGAUUGGAAUUCCUGGUGUAGCGGUGGAAUGCGCAGAUAUCAGGAGGAACACCGAUGGCGAAGGCAGAUCUCUGGGCCGUAACUGACGCUGAGGAGCGAAAGCGUGGGGAGCGAACAGGAUUAGAUACCCUGGUAGUCCACGCCGUAAACGUUGGGCGCUAGAUGUGGGGACCUUUCCACGGUUUCCGUGUCGUAGCUAACGCAUCAAGCGCCCCGCCUGGGGAGUACGGCCGCAAGGCUAA